rnacentral:rRNA from 1 species
CGGUUGCCUUCGGUACGACGUCGUCGAGAGAGUUUCGUAGUCCUGCGUCAGGACGAACGCUGGCGGCGUGCUUAACACAUGCAAGUCGUACGGUAAGGCCCUUCGGGGGUACACGAGUGGCGAACGGGUGAGUAACACGUGAGUAACCUGCCCACAACUUUGGGAUAACGCUAGGAAACUGGUGCUAAUACUGGAUAUGUGCUCCUGCUGCAUGGUGGGGGUUGGAAAGCUCCGGCGGUUGUGGAUGGACUCGCGGCCUAUCAGCUUGUUGGUGGGGUAGUGGCCUACCAAGGCGGCGACGGGUAGCCGGCCUGAGAGGGUGACCGGCCACAUUGGGACUGAGAUACGGCCCAGACUCCUACGGGAGGCAGCAGUGGGGAAUAUUGCACAAUGGGCGCAAGCCUGAUGCAGCAACGCCGCGUGCGGGAUGACGGCCUUCGGGUUGUAAACCGCUUUCAGCAGGGACGAAGCUUUUUGUGACGGUACCUGCAGAAGAAGCACCGGCUAGCUACGUG